rnacentral:lncRNA from 1 species
GGUAUGAUCGCACCCAAAAUACUAUCCAUGCUUAUUGUUUUUAUGUCUUACAAGUCGCAGAACCUCGUUUGCUUUCGUACGUGAGGCGUGGGACCCACGUGAGGGAUCAGCUCCGUUCUGGAAACACGAAAACAAUGAACACUGAACCGGAGGCCGCCCAAUCAUAGACAUAGCAAGAAAGAAAAAAAAACCGCACCUAAAACCUAAAAAAACGCAAACGGGCAACGAAAAAGGGGGUGCAACACGAGGACUUCCCAGGGGGUCACCCAUCCUAGUACUAUUCUCGCCCAACCACACUUAACUGCGGAGUUCUGAUGGGAUCCGGUGCAUUAGUGCUGGUAUGAUCGCACCCGAAAUACUAUCCAUGCUUUUUGUUUUUAUGUCUUACAAGACGCAGAACCUCGUUUGCUUUCGUACGCGAGGCGUGGGACCUAGGUGAGGGAUCGGCUCCAUUCCGGAAACACGAAAACAAUCAACAUUGAACCGGAGGCCGCUCGAGCAUAGAAAUAGCAAGAAAGAAAAAAAAAACCGCACCUAAAACCUAAAAAAACGCAUACUGGCAACGAAAAAGGGGGUGCAACACGAGGACUUCCCAGGGGUCACCCAUCCUUGUACUACUCUUGCCCAAGCACGCUUAACUGUGGAGUUCUGAUGGGAUACGGUGCAUUAGUGCUGGUAUGAUAGCACCCCAAAUACUAUCCAUGCUUAUUUUUUUUAUGUCUUUCAAGUCGCAGAACCUCCUUUGCUUUUGUACGCGAGACGUGGGACCCACGUGAGGGAUCGACUCCGUUCCGGAAACACGAAAACAACCAACAUUGAACCGGAGGCCGCCAGAGCAUAGACAUAGCAAGAAAGAAAAAAAACCGCACCUAAAACCCAAAAAAACGCAAACGAGCAAUGAAAAAGGGGUGCAACACGAGGACUUCCCAGGGGUCACCUAUCCUAGUACUACUCUCGCCCAAGCACGCUUACCUGCGGAGUUCUGAUGGGAUCUGGUGCAUUAGUGCUGGUAUGAUCGCAUCCGAAAUACUAUCCAUGCUUAUUGUUUUUAUGUAUUAGAAGACGCAGAACCUCGUUUGCUUUCGUACGCGAGGCGUGGGUCCUAGGUGAAGGAUCGGCUCCGUUCCGGAAACACGAAAACAAUCAACAUUGAACCGGAGGCCGCCCGAGCAUAAACAUAGCAAGAAGGAAAAAAAAACCGCACCUAAAACCUAAAAAAACGCAAACUGGCAACGAAAAAAGGGGGUGCAACACAAGGACUUCCUAGGGGGUCACCCAUUCUAGUACUACUCUCGCCCAAGCACGGUUAACUGCGGUGUUCUGAUGGGAUCAGGUGCAUUAGUGCUGGUAUGAUCACACCCUAAAUACUAUCCUUACUUUUUGUUUUUAUGUCUUACAAGUCGCAGAACCUCGUUUGCUUUGGUAUGCGAGGUGUGGGACCUACGUGAGGGAUCGGCUCCGUUCCGGAAACACGAAAUCAAUCAAUAAUUAACCGGAGGCCGCCCGAGCAUAGACAUAGCAAGAAAGAAAAAAAAACCGCACCUAAAACUUAAAAAAACGCAAACGGGCAACAAAAAAGGGGGUGCAACACGAGGACUUCCGACGUGGUCACCCAUCCUAGUACUACUCUCGCCCAAGCACGCUUAACUGCAAAGUUAUGAUUGGAUUUGGUGCAUUAGUGCUGGUAUGAUCGCUCCCGAAAUACUAUCCAUGCUUAUUGUGAUUAUGUAUUACAAGACGCAGAACCUCGUUUGCUUUUGUACACGAGCAGUGGGACCUAGGUGAGGGAUCGGCCCUGUUCCGGAAACACGAAAAUAAUCAACGUGGAACCGGAGGCCGCCCGAGCAUAAAGAUAGCAAGAAAGAAAAAAAAACCGCACCUAAAACCUAAAAAAACGCAAACGAGCAACGAAAAAGGGGGUGCAACACGAGGACUUCCUAGGGGGUCACCCAUCCUAGUACUACUCUCGCCCAAGCACGCUUAACUGCGGAGUUCUGAUGGGAUCCGGUGCAUUAGUGCUGGUAUGAUCGCACCCGAAAUACUAUCCGUGGUAAUUGUUUUUAUGUCUUACAAGACGCAGAACCUCGUUUGCUUUCGUACGCGAGGCGUGGGACCCACGUGAGGGAUCGGCUCCGUUCAGGGAAACACGAAAACGAUCAACAUUGAACCGGAUGCCGCCCGAGCAUAGACAUAACAAGAAAGGAAAAAAAAANNNN